rnacentral:lncRNA from 1 species
AUCCUUCUACCAUGGUCGAUUUUAUAAUGCGAUAUCCCAGGACAAUGUAUCGCCGACCCUUUUCUUUUAUUAAGCACAUGCGGAAGCAGUUAAAAUCCCCAGACAAUAAAACGAUGGGAUAGAAAAGCAGGCCCAUAUUUUUCAUAUUGAAAUUUAUAACCAAACUUUUAUACAAAACACAAACCACUUCAAAACUAUUCACAAAAAAAAGGAGAUCUCAAAAGAAGAUAGGAUCUCAAUCCAUCCAAACCGUAAUCACGGCCCCUCUCGGGACUAUCUUUUUCUUCCAAAAAUCCUUCUCUUCAUAUCUCACCUCCAAGUUCUUCUCGGAUUCCUCCUCCUCAGCUCUUCAGCGGGGUCCUGAAAUGGUUUUCCCCAAACUGGGAUGAGACUACGUCUCAGCGAGUUCUACCCCACUAAGCCCGAUUAGUAAACUAUUAUACUAAAGGCUGCCUAAACACGCACAGGGCAGAAGACGUACCUUGGCCUCAGAUCUCACCUGCAAGUCAGUACAAUUCAUAAUAGGCACCCAAGCAAUCAUAUCACCGAUCGAAGCAUCGAUCAAAUCGACCUAGUCGAUUAUAUUCCAACAAGACCACUCACGGUCAUUCCCAUUCAAUCAAUCAAUUCACAUCAGAUUAAAGCAUCGACCUAGUCGAUUACAUGUCAAACAAUUCACUCUCCACAGAGGAGUAUCUAAAAGCAAGGCCACGUGCAUUCUCUAGGACGACAUUCCAAGUCUCCGAGUCCACGUGCCUCGAACCUUGGGUCCACGUGCAUUCUCUCAGGCGACCUUUUCGCCAAAGUGAUGCAUCAAGUCACCGAGCCCACGUGCCCUUUUAGAUGCCCGGGCCCACGUGCAUUCUCUCAGGUGCAUUUCACCAAAGCGAUGCAUCAAGUCGCCGAGCCCACGUGCCCUUUUAGAUGCCCGGGCCCACGUGCAUUCUCUCAGGUGCAUUUCACCAAAGCGAUGCAUCAAGUCGCCGAGCCCACGUGCCCUUUUAGAUGCCCAACUCUGUCACCGAGCCCACGUGCAUUCUCCAGGAGUACAUACCGAGUCUCCGAGCCACGUGCAUUCUCUCAGGCGACCUUUUCGCCAAGAUGACAUAUUCAACCGCUGAACUCACGUGCAUUUUCCAGGUGACAUUCCAAUUCACCGAGCCACGUGUCCUCUUUGCAGUGGUUACCAAUUCACUUUCAAUAUCGACAACCAAUGCCCAACGAUUUCUCAAUCAACUAAUUAAAUCAACUCAACAAAACAUUAUAAAUGCUGAAUAAACAUACUUGGUCAUUCACCAAUCAAUACUCAAUCAAAUAAUUAAAUUAACUCAACAAAGCAUUAUAAAUGCUUAAUAAACAUACUUGGCCAUUCACCAAUCGAUAAUUCAAUCUCAAUCGGUUCCAAUCAAUUUAGGGUAAAUCCCUAAAAUAUCACAAUUUAUUCAAUUCCAUACAACGUAGAGCUCAAAUAAAUAAACGGACUGCGCCACGACGAUCAGCACGAGAUUUCGGUCGUCGGCCAUCAAAAUCUUAAUUUCCGAAAAAUAAUUUAUUAAUUUAUUAAUUUCGAAAAUUAAAUAAUUAAUAUUAAAAAUUCAAUUUAGCUCAACAUAAAGCCCGAUUACAUAAACGGACUUCACCACGGUCAUCAGCAUAAUUUUCCGGUUCCAGGCCAUCUCAGUUGAAUUUUCGGAAAAUAAAUAAUUAUUUAAUUUAAUUCCGAAAAUUAAUAAUUAAAUACUAAAAAUAUCCACUUAGGCCCGAAAAGCCUAAUUGGAGCCCACUAAGGGUCGGGAAAAAUCCCGAGGCACUUCCAAUAAUUAGUAGACCACGUCUACUUGCUAAUUACGCAAUCAAUUUAUUUAAAUCGCAUCACAAUUGACUAAUAAUUGCUAAUUUAUUCUAAUCUAACAACCUAAACAUAAUUAAUUAAAUCUAAACCAACCUUAAGCAUAAUUAGCCAACUAAUCCAAUAUUAGUGAGAUUACUCACCAAAUCGCACGCAAAUCGGAUCAAUCCGACGGCGGCGACGCGAGGAACGAUUGUUCCCAAAGCACGGCUCGGGUUCGGGGCCGGGAAACGGCCCAAAAGCAGGCCCGAAGAUGCUGAAACCCACUCUGUGGGUCUGCUGGACGGAGCCGAUCUGGGCUGCUCCGGCGGCUAGGGCGGCGAGGGGAAGCCGGCGGAGGGCGAGGGGGUUGCGGGGGAGGUCCGGUGGGGCUAGGCGGUGGCCGGAGGUGGCCGGACGGUGGCUGGUCGAAGCUGGAACAGGAGCGAACAGCAGCUGGGUCGCGCGGCUUGGGCGUGCGCGGACGGCAGGACGGCGACGGGUGCGCGGGCGCGGCGCGGGCGGCGGUGCGGCGGUGCGGCGGCGAGACGAGCUGCGCUGCUUUUGCUCCGAGCUCCUGGUUCGCACGCGAAGAAAAGAAGGAGAAGAAAGAAGCUGGUUCGGUCGAGCGUGCAGAGGAAGAAGAAGAAAAGGAAAGAGAGAGAGAGAGAGAGAGAGAGAAGGGAUAAGGGUUGACCGGUCAA